rnacentral:rRNA from 1 species
UAGGGAAUCUUCCGCAAUGGGCGAAAGCCUGACGGAGCAACGCCGCGUGAGUGAUGAAGGUCUUCGGAUCGUAAAACUCUGUUAUUAGGGAAGAACAAAUGUGUAAGUAACUAUGCACGUCUUGACGGUACCUAAUCAGAAAGCCACGGCUAACUACGUGCCAGCAGCCGCGGUAAUACGUAGGUGGCAAGCGUUAUCCGGAAUUAUUGGGCGUAAAGCGCGCGUAGGCGGUUUUUUAAGUAUGAUGUGAAAGCCCACGGCUAAACCGUGGAGGGUCAUUGGAAACUGGAAAACUUGAGUGCAGAAGAGGAAAGUGGAAUUCCAUGUGUAGCGGUGAAAUGCGCAGAGAUAUGGAGGAACACCAGUGGCGAAGGCGACUUUCUGGUCUGUAACUGACGCUGAUGUGCGAAAGCGUGGGGAUAAAACAGG